AACUUGUGAGGAGGGCACCUUUUGAUCAUUAGCUUGUAUCUCUCCCAGGCCUCAUAGAGGGACACUCCAUCUUUCUGUCUUAAGGUAUGAAUAUCCACCCUAAGCUU